UGGGGGAAUAUUGCACAAUGGGCGCAAGCCUGAUGCAGCAACGCCGCGUGAGGGAAGACGGUUUUCGGAUUGUAAACCUCUGUCUUUGGUGACGAAGAAGUGACGGUAGCCAAGGAGGAAGCCACGGCUAACUACGUGCCAGCAGCCGCGGUAAUACGUAGGUGGCAAGCGUUAUCCGGAAUUACUGGGUGUAAAGGGAGCGCAGGCGGGAUAGCAAGUCAGCGGUGAAAUGCAUGGGCUUAACUCAUGAGCUGCCGUUGAAACUGUUAUUCUUGAGUGGAGUAGAGGCAGGCGGAAUUCCGAGUGUAGCGGUGAAAUGCGUAGAUAUUCGGAGGAACACCAGUGGCGAAGGCGGCCUGCUGGGCUCUAACUGACGCUGGAGGCU
rnacentral:rRNA from 1 species